rfam:Kocuria palustris PEL contig_36, whole genome shotgun sequence.
UGCGGUGGUUAUAGCGUGAGGGAAACGCCCGGUCCCAUCCCGAACCCGGAAGCUAAGGCUCACAGCGCCGAUGGUACUGCACUCUGAUGGGUGUGGGAGAGUAGGUCGCCGCCGCAA